rnacentral:lncRNA from 1 species
CCCUGGACCGGAGGCUGCCAUCUCCAGUCCUACCCACUCCGACGCUGGCUGGUGCCGGGGGCCGGGACGCUCCGUACGCCGCCCGCCAGGGUGUGGAGCCGCACUGGGGCAAGAUCAGGUGGGACAGCCCAAAGACUCCGGGCCAAGUUCCUGGGGGACUCGGCGGAGAUGGAAGAUGAUUCUCGAAGCUCUCCAUUUCCUUAAUUUUGAGUUAUCUUCAGUCCUUCUUCAAUGCUGUGACUGAGUGCUUGCUGAUUAUUGUGCUUGCUGAUCCUGACUAAUACUCUCUCUUGAUGAGCUUCAUAUUCAUCACGACUUGGAUAAAUUUUGCUGAUGAGUGCAUCAAACUUUGGGUCUGGCCUUGGUGAUCUUUUGGAAACUAGUUUUUUCCAACAGAUUAAUGCCAUUAUAAAGAGCUUGGUGGAGGGAGCUUGCGCUAUCUCUUUUGCCCUUCUAUCCCCACCAUGUGGAACAAAGUGUUUCUCCCUUUUGAAGGAUGCAACCUUCAAGGCAUCAUCUUGGAAUCAGAAUUGCCAAACCUGCCAGUGCCUUGAUAUUGGACUUCUCAGCCUCCAGAACUGUGAAUAAAUUUCUGUUUAUGAAU